UGUUACGUCCUCAUCAUCAUCAUCUUCAUCAGGGUCGUGAUGGACGAUCUCUGUCACCUCAGACGGGUCGUAUUAUUGAUAUUUAUCUAUCGGCGUCUUACUGAAAUAUAAGAACGAUGAUGUUUUCAACAAAAUGUCGACGAACAAAGACGAAUAAAAUCACUCGUUAGACGUCAUCAGAGAGUCGCUGUGUUGCAUCCAUGAUUUCAACCGUUUGGUGCUUUUACUCCUCAUUUUAAUCAGACGUAUACGAAGUCACUGUAUGAUCGAGGUAUCAACGCAAUUCUUUAGCUGUACGAUAACAAAUCAACUCUGACCAAGACGAGACAAAAGAAGAACCUGCCGUGGAGGGAAGCGAGCGAGAAAGUCAGACUACCUUGUAAGUUUUGGGAAAACGUUUCAGCGCAGCACAUCUCUCAAAGCUCCACUCCAGCGAUGACCUCCUUAGAGUUGUCUGCUUGUCGUCUGGCCGUCAUUUCGAGUUCAUUCUGAUGUGGUAACGUGAGACUGUUCAACACGUCCUGAUGUAGAAAGUUUCCCUCUGACGCGAAGAGAAGAAACUUCAGUCCCAGUCGCCAGCGUGUCGGUCAGAGGAUGAGAGGACAAACAAAGUAAAAGGAAAACCAGCCCACCGGCACCAGCAGGACUUUAUAUCACCGGGCCUGAGUGUCGAGUUGGAUCAGGCACCAGCUCCCAGUGCGAGUUUUCAUUUCCUGUCAUCGUGGUGGACUCCCAUCAGGCAUCGCUCCAGAUUCCCGUUGUGCAACAUUAAAAACACAAAAAACACACAGAACAGAAUGACGGCAAAUAUUUAAGAAGGAACGCCAACAACGACUGCAGCCAAACACCGACAACCACCACGUCCCCUCGGAGCCUCUAACGUCCUGUACACACUCUCAGUUCAUCAGAGCUCUGAUGUCGCUGGGAAAGAACAACAAACAUCUGGUGAAAUGUUUCGGUGUUAGUUGGAAAAGGGCCGGAGUGAGUGAAUUCCCCCUCGCUGAAGCCUCCGUCCAGCUUCCAGCAGGCUGAUGUACUUACUGGCACAAGUGUGUAAACAGAUGAGAUAAGAUAUGAUGUUACUGCGGAACAACUCCCACCUCUGAUCGCACCGACCCGAGGAUGUUCUGUCUUUCCUCGGAGCUUCUCCGCCCGCCAUCAACCGGCUCGAGGUUUGUGGAGUUACAUCGUCUGAGUGAGAGGAAACGAGUCCUGGAUGAGUUUCUGUUGCUCAACAACCAAAUUAUGAAGUCAAACGAGGCGUGUCGGACGUGUCGAGUUUAAUCUCAACUUUAAGUAGUUUUGACAUCAAGUUGUGAAACACUGGAAUUGUCCUUUAAUGACCCUUUAAGUAGAAACAGUUCUGUUCUCACUGGUGCCUGUCUCAUGUUUUUGUGUCCUGUUUUUGUUAUUAUGAAAGUCGUUCUCUUCAUGUGCCAUGUUUUGUUUCACUUCCUGUCUUUGUCUGUUUCCCGCCUCUGUGAUUGUUGAUUUAUUUCACCUGCUUCUGAUUAUAAAUGUUGGAACGGUCGUUUGGUGUGUUUUCCUCCUUCAGCUGCUGAAUGUGUUCCUCAACACUUUACCGGUUAAUACUUACUUUAGUUUAUGUUUUCAUGUAUUUGCCUUGUAUAUUCAGCUCUGCUCAUGAUCAAAUAUCCCUGUUUGUUUCUUUCAUCUUCCUGCCUGGAGCCUUACAUUUGAGUCCUUUCUGCAAAAAAACAGACAGUUUGUAGAUGCAAAAAGAACAAAUAAAGGUAAUAUUUUCCAAAGGUUUUGAGCUUUGUAGGUUCAUAAAUAACAACAACAAAUAAAACAUAAAGAGCUCGAAGACAAGUGCAGAUUGAAAGCAUCCAUAUUCCAUAAAGUCCAGUCCAAAACAAUGGUUUUAUUUAUCUGUGUACAAUGCUGACGGUUGUUUUAGCUUCUGAUGAGGUGU